GACGAACGCUGGCGGCGUGCUUAACACAUGCAAGUCGAACGGAAAGGCCCUGCUUGCAGGGUACUCGAGUGGCGAACGGGUGAGUAACACGUGGGUGAUCUGCCCUCCACUUCGGGAUAAGCCUGGGAAACUGGGUCUAAUACCGGAUAGGAGCCAUUUUUAGUGGGAUGGUUGGAAAGUUUUUUCGGUGUAGGAUGAGCUCGCGGCCUAUCACCUUGUUGGUGGGGUAAUGGCCUACCAAGGCGGCGACGGGUAGCCGGCCUGCGAGGGUGGACGGCCACAUUGGGACUGAGAGACGGCCCAGACUCCUACGGGAGGCAGCAGUGGGGAAUAUUGCACAAUGGGCGCAAGCCUGAUGCAGCGACGCCGCGUGGGGGAUGACGGCCUUCGGGUUGUAAACUCCUUUCGCUAGAGACGAAGCUUUUGUGACGGUACCUAGAUAAGAAGCACCGGCUAACUACGUG
rnacentral:rRNA from 1 species